CCUCUGACAUACCAUAUUUGUUGGAAGUUGGUCGUAUUUGGCUUCCUGCGGAUAUUUCCGCUAAUGCAUCUUCCAUGUCAGCCUCAUUCCACGAUUUUCCUGUCCUAGCUUUUUUCUUCUGCAAUUUGCGUUUAGACAUGACUCAGAGAUACGGUUAAAGCUCUAAAGAGAAUCGUUUAAAUAAAUUAUUUGCCAAUCAUUUAAUUCACGAAGAAGAAAGACAAAAAAGUUGAGAAAAUGCUUACAAAAUUGCUUCUAAAGCCAAGGAUGAAGGACAGUCAAUGAUGAUAUCUCAGUUCGUUAACCUGGAAUGAAUUAAGAAUAUAAUUGUUUACAUAUAUUAUUUGCCAUCCAUUCAAUUCACAAAGAGCAGGAAGACAGACAAGAAAGUACAACAUUGCUCACUAGCGCUAAAACAAAAAUGUAAAAACUUACCUCUGCUUACAAUAUUCCAACAAAAAUUAUCCAAUAACACCUAACACAACAAUAUAAUAUAUAACCAAAAAAGCUCUUUAAAACUUUUCCCAAUGUUAAUAGUUAUAAUAGUAUUCUAGCAAAUGAUAAAGAAAUACGUUAAAAUCAAUAUCACAGCAUCACAGUAAACUUUCACGCUUUAUUCAUGAUUUAAAUAAAGAAAUUAGGUUACAUAAAGGCCUUGCGUAUUUUUUAGCGACCUAGCAACUAUUUGGGCACCUAAAGAAAACGCAACUUAUAUAGCGAUAUCUGCCCGAAUUAAGCUGAAUCUUUUUGGGCACAUUAAAAAUUUAGCCACAGGAGAACCAAAACAAAGUGAAAUGAAGCGCGGAACGCACAUAAUUACGCUCUCGUCGCAAAUCUUGUGAGUGUUUGGGAAACCUUAUUUCGACUUUUGCAGUUUCAUAUUAGAACAUGUCUAAUUAUAACCCACCAACGGGCGAUAUAUAUGUUUUAAAUAGUUAGCUACUUAGUAUUAUAUUCCAAGUUGUUGAUGAAGUUAAAAGAGCACAGAGAAACAAUCUCUAUUGUCAGUUUUGAGGGUCGCGUAUUUUCAAGAGGCCUCUGCCUUGCGUAUUUUUUAGGUGCCUCGACUAUAUUAUUGCUUGUGGUGUAGCGAUUUUUUGGAAAUGUUUUAUUAUACCUGCGACAUGACUAAAAUCAUUAUGAAGUUUAAGGUAUCUAAGAUUUGACCAUAAAGUUGGAUCCUACAAGUUUAAAAACAAAAAAAGAAAUAGAAGUAGGCGAAAGGAACAAAAAGAUUAUGACUACGUUCAUUGGUUUAGAAUUAACAAAAGAGACUAAAUCCAAAAUGCAAUUCCUUGGUAUUAUUAUUUAGACUAGCCGGGGACCCAGAGUCGAAACGUCGGGUUAGACCACAAGUAACUGUGUUACCCAGCGUUGAACGCCUGGAGGAGUGAUUAAUGUGAACUAUGCCACACAUUCGGGUGGAGCGCUUUAUAGUAUAGUAUGUUAUAAAUCGAGUGAGGCGCAAAACAUUAUGGUGUUUCCGGUGUAAUAUAAUUUUAAAAAAGUAGGCGUGCAACAUUAUGGUGUUUCUGGUGUAAUAUAUUUUUCAAAAAAUAACUUUCCACAACUUUAGCUGAAAUAAAAACAACUCGUCGCUACCCUAUCAUAGAGAAAAAACAGUCUGCCAACCUUUAUUAUUUUUCAGAGAACGUUCCCGCUAAAAGUUCAAAAAAAAAUAUUACUCCGGGCUGAGUGAUUAGUACAGGCAAACAAUGUCACAUAGGUAUAAUACCCUUUUUUGAAAAAUACUUUAGUGUAAUAUUGGUUAAACAGAAACACAGGAAACAGCCAUCAUUAACAUUUGACUGAGCGCUUAGUACAGGUAAACUGUGUCGUCAAUGCGUUUAGGUGUAAUACCCUUUUCAAAAAAACUUUGAUGUAAUUUCGGUUUACAUAAUAACACAGGAUACACACUGUUAACACUUGGCUAAGCGCUUACUACAUACAGGUAAACCAUGUUGCAUAUCCAUAUAGGCGUCAAACUUCUCGAAAAAACUUAUCACAGCUUCAAUUUAAACAAAAAAAACAGGAAAUAAUUUGUUGCUAUCAACGGGCUGUGCGCUUAGUACAGGUAAACGGUAUUGCACAUGUGUAUAGGCGCAAUACCCUUAUCCAAAAAAAAUUUAUUGCAACUUCGGUGUAAAUUAAAAAACAGGCAACAGCCUGUCGUUACGCCCUCUAGCUAAAAAAAAUCCUCCAGCAAUUUUAUUUUGUUGAGUGGGUUUUUAUAAUAGUAAUAAAAGGUGUUGCUACCUAAACUGCAUUUUUAGUAUAAGAAAUAUUGAUUAAGAAUUUUGUUGUAGCUAGAUAGCAAGCCAUUUGGCUACUUUUACUUUUCACCCAGGUAGCUAAAGAACUAGCUAGCCACAACCCCAACAUAAAAAUAAAUAAUAAUAUACCAAACUUUAAAAGUAUAAAUAAGGCUAGGUACAGCUAAGCAGGAUGCUGCUUUGAAAUCUGCGUUUGUAGCUAGCUAAAAUCUUAAAAUUGAUUUGUUUAAGAUCUACACAUGUCUAGAAAACCUGAUGAUAUUUUUAUCUUAAUAUGUGAAAACAUGGACACAAUAAAGAGAAUAUCUUAAACGUUCAUAGAACUGAAAUUUAGGCAGUUAAAUAAUUAUACUAACCUAACCCAACCAAAUAUUUCUCUUCACUUCAAAAAACUUCGCUUUGCUUGAACUCGGUCCCUCGAAGGGAACGACUCGUACCUUUACCCCUAGGGCUCGGUUUAAUUGAACAAAAUCCGCCUCGUUAAAAACAUCUGAAAACGAAAAUUUGAAGGAGUAUCUAGCAUAGCUCAUCAAAUAAUAUUAAAAUAGCAGUCUACAACUAUAUUUGUGAUCAAAUUCUUAGCGCAGUCUUCAUUCUUUACGAAUAUCAAGAUACGCACAAAGCCGGCGUAGUGCUAGGUCGCAGGAUCAGGUCGGACUUUAAAAGUCGUGACGUUACGGCAAUCAGUUAAAAAAUCGGGGGAAGAAGGAGAAGGAGAAGAAGAAAGAGAAGGAAAAGGCCGCCCGUUUUAAUAAAAUCUCGGAUGUUAUCCGAAAUCUUAAUAAGUCAGAAUUAAAAUACAAUUUUUCCUAAUUUUCAAAACAACAGAACUUUUUAUCAGAACAAUGAAAAUAACAACUAUCAAGAAAUUAAGACUGAACAAUG